AUAAAGUAAACCUCCCAAUAGCAGUCUCUCAGUCAACAAAUACCCUUUCGACAUCUAUGAAGGCAAACUUCUGUGCAGACCUCAAGAGGGAGAAGAAGAUACUAGGCAGCUGGGAAGAUGGCGAUGCUAAGCUGCUCUGAGCAGACCUCUGCUGUCUCCAGGAAGAACAAAACACAACAAAUCGAAAUCCACUUGAAAGGAAAAAUUGUAACAAAGUCCAAAAUAGCCGCUUUCCCCCCUGAAGGAAUCUUAAAAGUCGCAUAAGAAAGAUGAAAUGACCAACAAUGGCUCCUGUGGGGAAGCCAAGAAGCAGAUGAUUCAUGAGGGCUUCUUAAUGCUCAACGUUCUCUCUCUACAAACACGGGCCACAUGAAAGUCAGAAGCCACAGGUUAGAGGACACCGGCUCCUGAACUUGUGCUUUUCCAGAAUCAGGAGUCAAGUUACCCUCUUCCUCCAAGAGACACUGUCCACAGCCUACCCAAAUCUACCGCCCAAUUGUGCAGGCAUCUGCUUCUCAUGGGGAGGACUGGAGCUAAGUGAGAGCCGUCAAGCGGUAGGGAAGGUUCUCCCACACUGGCCACUCCACAUGGUGCUGAAACACGCCCAAGAAGACAACGGGACCAAGGCAAGCACAAUGCAGAAGAGAGUCUAUCAUGGCUUCCACAGACGACUUCCUAAUACAGAGUCUUGUUUUUGUAAGCACUGAGUUUAGCUCAAGCAUACCACUCAAGCAAGGCUACCCUUUGAAAAUAUCGUGAUCAAUGAACAUUAUUCUGUAAAAUCCAGGGCAGAAGGAAGAGAGAUGACUGGAUCCUGGAGCACGGAUGAUCUUCUUAGAGCCUUGUAACACUGGGAAGCCCGUACUGAAGACAGCGAAGCAGAGAAGGAAAACAACCAACAAGGAAAUGGAAAGAGUGCACAAACAACUAGUGUCUUAGUAAGAUUUGGG